rnacentral:misc_RNA from 1 species
GAUGAAGAACGCAGUGAAAUGCGAUAAGUAAUGUGAAUUGCAGAAUUCAGUGAAUCAUCGAAUCUUUGAACGCACAUUGCGCCCGCCAGUAUUCUGGCGGGCAUGCCUGUUCGAGCGUCAUUACAACCCUCAGGCCCCCGGGCCUGGCGUUGGGGAUCGGCGGAAGCCCCCUGCGGGCACAACGCCGUCCCCCAAAUACAGUGGCGGUCCCGCCGCAGCUUCCAUUGCGUAGUAGCUAACACCUCGCAACUGGAGAGCGGCGCGGCCACGCCGUAAAACACCCAACUUCUGAAUGUUGACCUCGAAUCAGGUAGGAAUAUCCGCUGAACUUAAGCAUAUCAAUAAGCGGAGGA